rnacentral:rRNA from 1 species
GAUGAACGCUAGCUACAGGCUUAACACAUGCAAGUCGAGGGGCAGCAUUAUCGAAGCUUGCUUUGAUAGAUGGCGACCGGCGCACGGGUGAGUAACGCGUAUCCAACCUUCCCAUCACUCAGGGAUAGCCCGCCGAAAGGCGAAUUAAUACCUGAUGGUCUCCUUCGCGGACAUCUAACGAGGAGUAAAGAUUCAUUGGUGAUGGAUGGGGAUGCGUCUGAUUAGCUGGUUGGUGGGGUAACGGCCUACCAAGGCGACGAUCGGUAGCCGGUCUGAGAGGAUGAACGGCCACAUUGGGACUGAGACACGGCCCAGACUCC